AGAGAGAGAGAGAGAGAGAGAGAGAGAGAGGUCGCCACACGCACUCAGAAAAAACACGUAUAGAAAAUCCGAAAGGAACUUUUCCGUGUUUUCCCCUCAUUUUUAUCACACUUUCCCUUCGUGUCGUGUGAACAACGUUGUAUGGAAUUUACAGCAAUGAAGUAACGUCGAGGGAAGCGCCACGUCCCCGGGGACCCAAGUGAGGAAGAGCCGGAGAAGAGAGAGGUCUGUGCUGCUGAUGUUGUCCUCACUCACGUCUGUUCUUCAUUAAUACAUUUCCCAUGGAGCCGUGCACCGACACUCACGCUGUUCAGCCAUGGAGACAUCAGUCAGGUUUUUGGACCCAGAGAUCCAGUGAGACGGAUGAGGACCUGAUAUUGUGAUAUCAACCCCUGUCCCAGUGUAGGACCUCCACAGACCACCGCAGACCUCCGCAGACCUCCACAGACCUCCUGAUUCAACAGUACCUACUGUGGACUACAGACCUUUAUCAGGAAU